CAAGAGCGUAUAUUAAAGUUGUUGCAGUUAAAAAGCUCGUAGUUGGAUUUCUGGUACAACGCGCCUGGCCCGCUUUAUGUGAGUGCUGGUGCGCGUUUGCCAUCCUUCUAGAAAACGUUUCUACCCUGGCAACGGGGCCGGACUCGCGAUCUAGAUCUUUUACUUUGAAAAAUUAGAGUGUUUCAGGCAGGCUUUCGCCGGAAUACAUUAGCAUGGAAUAAUGGAAAAGGACUUCAACCUCUUCUGUUGGUCUGAGAGGCUGUAGUAAUGAUUAAUAGGGAUAGUUGGGGGCAUUAGUACUUAACUGUCAGAGGUGAAAUUCUCCGAUUUGUUAAAGACUAACUUAUGCGAAAGCAUUUGCCAAGGAUGUUUUCAUUAAUCAAGAACGAAAGUUAGGGGAUCAAAGAAUGAUCAGAUACCAU
rnacentral:rRNA from 1 species